UACGAAGGGUGCAAGCGUUACUCGGAAUUACUGGGCGUAAAGCGUGCGUAGGUGGUGAGUUAAGUCUGUCGUGAAAGCCCCGGGCUCAACCUGGGAAUGGCAAUGGAUACUGGCUCGCUAGAGUGCGGUAGAGGAGAGUGGAAUUCCCGGUGUAGCAGUGAAAUGCGUAGAGAUCGGGAGGAACAUCAGUUGCGAAGGCGGCUCUCUGGACCAGCACUGACACUGAGGCACGAAAGCGUGGGGAGCAAACAGG
rnacentral:rRNA from 1 species